UUGGAACAUAGAUGGGAGGAGUAAACAGAAUAGAAUUCUGGACGGAAGAGGAAGUGAGGUCAGACUCUGCUCUGCUCCCAGAGAGACCCGACAGCUCUGCUGGAGCAGAGACACCAUGCUCAGCUCUCCCAGGCAGAUGCACGCAAUGAAGCUCCUCCAAUCCCGGAUGGAUGUAGGCUAGAAUCUUCCCGCUCACCAGGCAUCUCUACACCCAUCCUGAGGUUCUUGUCAUCUAGAUGUGAAGGGAAUACACAUGGCCUUCCAAGCACUAGGCCGCAAGAAUCCUGUGCAGCCCCCACCCCCACCCUACCCUGUAUCAGCCAGCCAUGCUGUUCUGGCUUCUUUUAUGUCAACCUGACAGAAGCUCAAGUUAUCUGAGAGAAAAGAAACCGCAAUUAAGAAAAUAAAAUAAACCUUUCCCUCAAGUUGA